rnacentral:rRNA from 1 species
UACAGAGGUCCCAAGCGUUGUUCGGAUUCACUGGGCGUAAAGGGUGCGUAGGUGGCCAGGUAAGUUUGGUGUGAAAGCUCGGAGCUCAACUCCGAAAUGGCAUUGAAUACUAUCUGGCUGGAGGGUCGGAGGGGAGACUGGAAUUCUCGGUGUAGCAGUGAAAUGCGUAGAUAUCGGGAAGAACACCCGUGGCGAAGGCGGUUCUCUGGGACGGUACUGACGCUGAGACGCGAAAGCGUGGGGAGCGAACAGG